rnacentral:rRNA from 1 species
AGUCACUGACAUUAGAUACCCGCGUAGUCCCAGCCGUAAACUAUGCGCGUUAGGUGUAUCGGUGACCACGAGUUACCGAGGUGCCGAAGGGAAACCGUGAAACGUGCCGCCUGGGAAGUACGGUCGCAAGGCUGAAACUUAAAGGAAAUUGGCGGGGGAGCACCGCAACGGGAGGAGCGUGCGGUUUAAUUGGAUUCAACACCGUAAAACUCACCAGGGAAGACUGUUACAUGAAGGCCGAGAUGAAGACUCUGCUAGAUUUUUCAG